rnacentral:rRNA from 1 species
UACGGGGGGGGCAAGCGUUGUUCGGAAUUACUGGGCGUAAAGAGCUCGUAGGCGGCUUGUCGCGUCGACUGUGAAAUCCCGCGGCUCAACUGCGGGUCUGCAGUCGAUACGGGCAGGCUAGAGUUCGGUAGGGGAGACUGGAAUUCCUGGUGUAGCGGUGAAAUGCGCAGAUAUCAGGAGGAACACCGAUGGCGAAGGCAGGUCUCUGGGCCGAUACUGACGCUGAGGAGCGAAAGCGUGGGGAGCGAACAGG